rnacentral:rRNA from 1 species
UACGGGGGGGCAAGGCGUUGUUCGGAAUUACUGGGCGUAAAGGGCUCGUAGGUGGCCAACUAAGUCUAGACGUGAAAUCCCUCAGCUUAAACUGGGGAACUGCGUCUGAUACUGGAUGGCUUGAGAUUGGGAGAGGGAUGCGGGAAUUCCAGGUGUAGCGGUGAAAUGCGUAGAUAUCUGGAGGAACACCGGUGGCGAAGGCGGCAUCCUGGACCAACACUGACACUGAGGAGCGAAAGCCAGGGAGCAAACGGGAGUUA